rnacentral:rRNA from 1 species
GAUGGGGGAACCCUGAUCCAGCCAUGCCGCGUGUGUGAAGAAGGCCUUUUGGUUGUAAAGCACUUUAAGCAGUGAAGAAGACUCCGUGGUUAAUACCCACGGACGAUGACAUUAGCUGCAGAAUAAGCACCGGCUAACUCUGUGCCAGCAGCCGCGGUAAUACAGAGGGUGCAAGCGUUAAUCGGAAUUACUGGGCGUAAAGCGAGCGUAGGUGGCUUGAUAAGUCAGAUGUGAAAUCCCCGGGCUUAACCUGGGAACUGCAUCUGAUACUGUUAGGCUAGAAUAGGUGAGAGGAAGGUAGAAUUCCAGGUGUAGCGGUGAAAUGCGUAGAGAUCUGGAGGAAUACCGAUGGCGAAGGCAGCCUUCUGGCAUCAUAUUGACACUGAGGUUCGAAAGCGUGGGUAGCAAACAGGAUUAGAUACCCUGGUAGUCCACGCCGUAAACGAUGUCUACUAGUCGUUGGGUCCCUUGAGGACUUAGUGACGCAGCUAACGCAAUAAGUAGACCGCCUGGGGAGUACGGCCGCAAGGUUAAAACUCAAAUGAAUUGACGGGGGCCCGCACAAGCGGUGGAGCAUGUGGUUUAAUUCGAUGCAACGCGAAGAACCUUACCUGGUCUUGACAUAUCUAGAAUCCUGCAGAGAUGCGGGAGUGCCUUCGGGAAUUAGAAUACAGGUGCUGCAUGGCUGUCGUCAGCUCGUGUCGUGAGAUGUUGGGUUAAGUCCCGCAACGAGCGCAACCCUUGUCCUUAGUUACCAGCGGGUUAAGCCGGGAACUCUAAGGAUACUGCCAGUGACAAACUGGAGGAAGGCGGGGACGACGUCAAGUCAUCAUGGCCCUUA